GCUUGGGAUGGCUCAGUUGGUAGAGUAUGAGACUCUUAAUCCCAGGUUGUGGGCUCAAGCCCCACCUUGGACA